rnacentral:lncRNA from 1 species
AGAACACAGACAAUAGGAAAUGAAAUGAGCAGAGAUAAUUCAUAAGAAUGUUUUAGAAAAGAAAUUAAGCUUCGGUGAAGCUUGGGGGCUUGUAGGCAAUGAAACUGAUGCAUUGGACUUGACGGGUGUUGUCGAAUCCGAUGAUCCUAAUGAAGGCGCCCGGGUACUCCUUCUUGCAUUCUUCAACUUCCUUCAACACUUGAGCGGAGUCGGUGCAUCCGAACAAUGGAAGCUUCCACAUUGUCCAGUACCGUCCAUCGUAGUAUCCGGGAGUGUUUCCGUGCUCACGGUACACAAAUCCGUGCUAUAAACACAUAAGAAAACCAUUCAAUACAAUUGAUAUUGGAGGAUAUGCACAAGGUGAUAUAGUCUAUUUCGGUUCUACAAAAUCCGGUUAUAGGCUAAUAUUUCUAGCAAUGAAAACGAAUAAAUAAUAAUGAUUAGUAGACAAAAGAAAACUUUUGUGUUUAUUACCUCUAACUCGAAUUCAACACAAGGAAUCCACUUGUUGCGGAGAAGGUAGUCAACUUCCUUAGCCAAUUCGACGUCACUAAGGUCAGGGAGGUAAGAUAGAGUCUCAAACUUCUUCUUUCCAAUUGGUGGCCACACCUAUAAUCCCCAAAUCCAAUUCCAAAUUAAUAUAUCCUAUGUUUUGUUUUAUUGCACAUGACAAAAGACAGUUUUUAUUGAUGAUAUUACCUUCAUGCAGCUAACUCUUCCCCCGUUGCUUGCGAUGGAAGUGAUGUCCUUGUUGGUCUUGCGGGUGACCGGGAAUGCAGCGGAUGACUUCAAGCCGGUGAAUGGAGCGACCAUGGUGGCCUGAGCCGGGGAUGUAACCACAGCGGCGGAGGAGAGCAUAGAGGAAGCCAUUACUACUUCUUGUUGUUUCUCUUCUUCUUUUGCUCGUUUACUUACUGACUUGUUUUCCUACUGGUGUUGUCAUCUUUAUAUAAUGAGAACCCCCUAAAGGCGAAAAGCCCUCAUGAUCAAAGGGUCCAUGAUUCAUGAUAACGUCGUUUACUGCCACAGGAUUAAGGAAAGGUGUUGACACCCUUAUCGGUACGCACCACUAGGAUAAGGCCACGUGGCAGAAAACUCCAUUAUCUUAUCUUUUCUCUUGUGGGGGAAAUGAAGUGAAUGUGCGGUUACUGGUCUCCACUUGAUCGGUUGCUUUUGGCUCCUUUCGUUUGGGAGAAAAGAAACCAGACGCAUUACCUUAAAUUUAAUGCUUUUGGUCUUUUGGACCUCUUAUUUACCAUGUAUGAUUUAAUUUGGCUUAACACUUUCUUUGGAAAUAAGGUCGCAUUAAAAAAUAGUUAUAACAAAAUUAUUUAAAUUUGAUAUUUACAUAAAUAUAUUGUAUGAUAUUUAUCCGGACAAAAAAAAAAGCUUUAACCAUCUCCAAUAUUUGUUUCUAUUAUUUUCUUUCUGAAUAUAGAGGAAAAAAUAUAAUAGAGAUUUAUAUUUUAACUUCAAUGGUUCCUCAAAAAUUCGUUAGAAAAAAUAAAUAAGAGAAAAAAUAAAAAUCUCUAUUUUUUGCUUUAGAAAAAAAAUUAGAAAUUUCUAUUUUACAAAUGAAAAUAGAGAUGAGUUAGAGUUAAAUAAAUACAAAAAUAGAGUAUAUAAAUAAAAAUAGAGAUAGAUUCGAGAUGCUCUUAAAAAUAUUCAUUACUCUUUCCGUUUUAUUAAUAUCAAUUGUUAAGAUUUUUCAGGCAGACUUAUAAAUAAGAUUCCAUUUCAGACUAAUGGAAGUAAACCUAUCAAAAGAAUUCUAACGUGCUGUAGAGAGACUCCUUCGUCAUCGUCCCUUUUGUGAAAGAGUAAAUUAAAGAAUCCAUAAUGAGCAUAGUGUAAGAAGAACCAUUUAUCUAUUAGAUAUAUUCUAGUACUGGUAGACUGUCGAUUCUGGAUACAUCCUGAAAAUCAUUUACCACAAUAAAUUGUCGAUAAUCUUUUUGUUGGAAAAGUUAUAUAUUAUCUUCAAAUGAUAAUAUAUUAGUCGACAAAAGAAAAGCGAGACAAAAUUUGAAUACAUUGAUUUCGGUUAAUUCAAUACUUUCACUUCAUUUUUAGCAAAUAGUACUUUUAUUUCUGAUUUUUAUGUGGCUAGGAUAAAAGCAAAACCUUACUGGUUGGAGAGAGUAAAUAUUUGAGUCGAUACUAACAACAACUACAUCAUGCAAGAUAUGUUUGUGGGACAAAGAGACCGAGCGAACAAACGAAACGGCAAAACCAUCAUCUACAUGUAUCAAGUGCGCGGUAAACCCCUCAUGGAAGAAUUUCCAAGAAAACCUCCCAAAGUCCAUGGUAUCUUCUAUAUGAGGUAAUGCACGCUGCCUCUAGAUCAACAAGUAAUAUCAGCUCACGAUUAUCUUGCGACUCUGAUCACAUCACAAUAACAAUGGGGAACCCACAUACGCAACCGUUCUCCUUGGAGUACCAUGCCAUUGCACUUACGGCCCCCUCAAGCACAAAUAUGGCACCUCAAGCUGAUUUCCACCAUGCAAACUUGAGUAUGUAAUCAAAGGUGUAGAACGGAGUCAAGAACUCAUCUUAAAGUCACAUAAAACUAUGGUCAUGCACUCAUGGAUCACGACUACUACCUUCAGGCUCACAAAUUAAUGCCCCCUUUUCAAUCAUAUAUAUGAGAAGAAACGUGUACAAAGUACACAUUAACUGGUCACGAAAAAACUUUCGUGUAGGGAAAAGGAUCACAAGGUCCACUCCACUCCGCACCUCAGCUAAAUAAAUCAUUUUUCGAAAGUGAGAUAGUCUUAACUCUUAAGUCUUAACCCAUCCAUCUAAGUUACUAGUUUCUGUCUUUUAUAAGUCAUUUUGUUUCUUUUUCUUGGAUUUUAAUUGAAGCCAAAAUGUGUGAAUUAAAUCCGGGAGAUGGAAAAAAUGUUCGAUAAUUUGAAUUAUUAUUUUUAUAUGUAUUUUGUAUUUGAAUCAUGAAUUUUUUAUAUUUCGUUUGCAUAGAAGAAUCCAAAAACAUAUGAUUUUUUGUCAAAACAAAAACUUAAAACCAAACAUAUAGUAGAUGCGACGUUUUCAUUAUCAUUUGGAAUCUAGUUUUAUUUAGAACUUUUUGGGAACGUUAACUACUUUUCCUUCUAAAUAACUGUUUCAGCUUUUAAUGCAUAACCAAUGAUCAAAUUUAACGUAAACAAAAUUUCCAAAAUUUAGUAACUUCAUGCUUGACAAAUUUCAGUCUUUGUCGAUCCUUGCUUUAUGUAAUGCUAUUUCUUGACUUAAUAUCCCACUUAGGGGUUUGGAAUACAUGUUUUAUGUUUAUAAUUUUAAAAGAUGCAUUUGAAUUUUCUGUAUAUACUACCUUUUCCAAAUCUCCAAUGGCUAUGUCAUCUGAAAAAUGGUUACACUCCCUUACAUAAACUUUUCUCUAAAUAUCGAGGUUUGAUUGAUUGCUUUCAUGUGCAAAAUUUCUUAAAACAAUGUAGCAAGUUUUUCUUUUUUUAUUAGAGUUUAUUGGUUAGUCUAGGGAGUCAAAAGCAAGAAUUAUGAGGAUAAUUUAAAGGAGCCACAAUGUUGUUUAAAGGAGCUAAACGAAAAAUAAGAUUUCAAAGAUUUAAGGGCAAAAAUGAAAUGAAAUGAUAACUAUAAUUAUAGAGAAACUGAUAGGAAUAACAUUUUCACUUUCAAACAAUAGUUCCUCAACUGUUAAGUCGGCAAAUAAUUUCUUAAAUUUGCAUUGACCACAUAGAAAUGGGUUCCAGAAUAAUCAACGCUGAAUAUUCCAGAAAGGGGAUUAAGCUUCGGUGAAGCUUGGGGGCUUGUAGGCAAUGAAACUGAUGCAUUGGACUUGACGGGUGUUGUCGAAUCCGAUGAUCCUAAUGAAGGCGCCAGGGUACUCCUUCUUGCAUUCUUCAACUUCCUUCAACACUUGAGCGGAGUCGGUGCAUCCGAACAAUGGAAGCUUCCACAUUGUCCAGUAUCGUCCAUCAUAGUAUCCGGGAGUGUUUCCGUGCUCACGGUACACAAAUCCGUGCUAUAUAUAAAGAAAACCAUUCAAUACAAUUGAUAUAUAUAUUGGUGAUAGUCUAUUUCGGUUAUCCACUUAAGUUUCUAGCAAUGAAGAAGAAGAAUAAAGGAUGCUUAGAGACAAAGGAAAAGUUCAGUGUAUAUUACCUCCAACUCGAAUUCAACACAAGGAAUCCACUUGUUGCGGAGAAGGUAGUCAACUUCCUUAGCCAAUUCAACGUCACUAAGGUCAGGGAGGUAAGAUAGAGUCUCAAACUUCUUCUUUCCGAUUGGUGGCCACACCUAUAAAUUCGAAUUCCCAAUUAUUCUAAAGUAUUGUUCAGUUGCACUAAUUGCACAUGACAAAAGACAGUUUUCAUUAAUGACAUUUACCUUCAUGCAGCUAACUCUUCCUCCGUUGCUUGUGAUGGAAGUAAUGUCGUUGUUGGCCUUGCGGGUGACCGGGAAAGAAGCGGAUGACUUCAAGCCGGUGAAUGGAGCGACCAUGGUGGCUUGAGCCGGGGAGGUAACCACAGCGGUGGAGGAGAACAUAGAGGAAGCCAUUACUUCUUCUUGUUGUUUCUCUUCUUCUUUUGGUUUUUCUCUUACUUACUUGUUUGUCUGUUGGUUUUGUCAUCUUUAUAUAGUGGGAACCGCUAGAGGCAACUAGCCCUAAUGAUCAAAGGGGCCAUAAUUCAUGAUAACGUCGUUAAUUGCCACAGGAUUAAGGAAAGGUGUUGACACCCUUAUCGAUUUGGACCACUAGGAUAAGAUCACGUGGCAGAAAACUCCAUAAUCUUAUCUUUCUCAUGUAAGGGUAGGAGUGAAUGUGUAUGGCUACUGGUCUCCACUUGAUCGGUUGCUUUUGGCUCCUUUCAAUUGGGAGGCGUCAAAUUGUAGAUAUCGGUUAAAUACUUUUUACAUAUAGAUUAAAAAAAUGAUUAAAUUUCUAUUACCUUAUAUUAACACAUUCAUAUUUUUAUUUUUCCACUUGAUAAUCUUAAAUAAUAAGAAUAUAAGUAUAAUCUUUGAAUUCAUCCCACAUUUUAAAAGUAUAAUUAAAUCAGACAGAGUUCAUUCAAAAUGGUUUUUAAUUGGGAAAUGUAAACUAGUAUUUUGUGUUAUUAUUUUCUAUGUAGUAUGUACGAUCACUAGAACUUUUAGUCACAUAAUGGAUAUUAAAUUAGAAAACAAUCCAAAUGCUUGUGAAUUUUCAGGUUUUACGGCUAAUUAAUAUAUUUCUGAUGAACAAGAGGAACCCACGGCACCGUUCCUUUUGGAGCACAACGCAAUUGCACUUACGGCCCACUUAAGCACGAAUGUGGCACCUCAAGAUAAUUCCCACCAUGACAACUUAAGCACAAAAGCCAUGACGGAUCAUGGGGAAAUUUUAUAACACACUUCAAUGGAUGGUGUGGAUCCGAGGGAAGAAUCCACACUCUAAGGCCACAUGAAGAAGCUCAUAUGGUCAUGGGUCCACGAAUACCACGUAAAAGCUCAUAUAUGCCCCGGUCCAACCAUAUGAGAAGAAGUAGCCAAACCCAUUCAAGAAACAUUGAUUACUUUUCAUUGUAAAUAAGUGUUUUAGCUUUGAAUGUAUCGUAAACUAUCUAAUUUAAUGUAAAACAGUUUCCAAAUUAUAAAUAUUCAUGCUUUGUUAUCUCCAUUAUAAAUUUCAUUAAUUCUUGCGUGUCCUUGCUUGCUAUGAUGUCAUCUCUAAAUUUUUGGACUUGCGGCUCUAGAAUUCAUGUUUAUGGAUUUAAAAUAUACAGUUGGAUUUUUCUAUGUCAUUUUAAAAAAGAAAAUUUUUAGAUUAGAUUUUAAAAAGAGAAAUAAACGUGUUUACAACUUAAUGCAUACUUUUUUGAAAAACAAAUCUAAAACAGAGGAUUUGGUCUUAAGCUUGUCUUGUACCAAACCAAACUUGAAGACCUCCUUCAUACUUCAAAGCUCCCCCCACUCCGUAUUGUGCUCAGCCGGUUCCAAACAUUUUUGUCAAUUAACUUGACAAGUUUCUCCAUUGGUGAUGGUUGUUCACCAUGCUUUCAAGCAUUUCUUUCUCCCCAAAUCGAAUGAACCGUGUUUUGGAAGACAUACCGUAGAAUGAAGAUUUUUGUUUUGUCAUAGUUUUUGUCACAAAUGGUUUUAAAGACUUCCCUCCAAUAUGUCGAGUACUUAUCAAGUAGUAUUCCCCUUAUCAGCUUCUCCCAUACCUUCUGCGAGUAAGAGCACCCAAAAAAAAGAUGGUGUCUUGUUUCCAUAGGUUCGUGACAGAACAUGCAGUUUGUGUUCACUUGUUGAUUCCAUUUAAACAUUCUGUCUCCCGUGGCAACUCUGUUUUUUGAAGCUAGCCAACUGAGAAAGGAGUAGUUAGGGUAAAGUAAAAGAAACAGAUCCCUUUGUAUCCGUCCAUCGUAGGCUUAGUGUUGCGAAUUUUUGAGCAUGUAUCUCUUGUGACAAACUUUUGACGGUAGUGAUCAUUUUUUCCUUUCCAAAGGGCUAUGUAACUUUCAUCUUCUCUGAGACGACAUCUCUAUUUUCUACGUAUUUUUACUACCUUUACUGGCUGUUUUUCAUCUUUAAAUUAAAAUGUUCUAAAUCAACCCUCAAAAUUUGAUUGAUGGACGCAUCUUUGCUAUGCUUUCAAGUGCGAAAUGUACCUAAAAAGGGUACUCUUUCAUUAGAGAACCAAAGGCAAGAAUUAGGAGAGAAAUUUAAAGGAACUAAAAUGUUAGUUAAAAGAGAUAAAACGAAUAAAAAGAGUUAAAAGUGAUAAGAGCAGAAAUGAAGUGAUAUGAAUAGAGAUUUUUAUAGAGGAAACGAUAGAAAAACAAACCUUCAGUUUUUUCACUUUGGCAAAAUAAUUACUUAAAUUUACAUUGACCAUACAAAAUUGGGUUCCGGAUAGUCAACAUUGAAUAUUCCAGAAAAGGAUUUAAGCAUCAGUGAAGCUUGGGGGCUUGUAGGCAAUGAAACUGAUGCAUUGGACUUGACGGGUGUUGUCGAAUCCGAUGAUCCUAAUGAAGGCGCCCGGGUACUCCUUCUUGCAUUCUUCAACUUCCUUCAACACUUGAGCGGAGUCGGUGCAUCCGAACAAUGGAAGCUUCCACAUUGUCCAGUACCGUCCAUCGUAGUAUCCGGGAGUGUUUCCGUGCUCACGGUACACAAAUCCGUGCUAUAAACACAUAAGAAAACCAUUCAAUACAAUUGAUAUUGGAGGAUAUGCACAAGGUGAUAUAGUCUAUUUCGGUUCUAAAAAAUCCGGUUAUAGGCUAAUAUUUCUAGCAAUGAAAACGAAAAAAAUAAUAAUGAUUAGUAGACAAAGGAAAAGUUUUGUGUAUAUUACCUCCAACUCGAAUUCAACACAAGGAAUCCAUUUGUUGCGGAGAAGGUAGUCAACUUCCUUAGCCAAUUCGACGUCAGUAAGGUCAGGGAGGUAAGAUAGAGUCUCAAACUUCUUCUUUCCGAUUGGUGGCCACACCUAUAAUUCCCAAUUCCCAAUUAUUCUUAAGUAUUGUUCAGUUGCACUAAUUGCACAUGACAAAAGACAGUUUUCAUUAAUGACAUUACCUUCAUGCAGCUAACUCUUCCCCCAUUGCUUGUGAUGGAAGUAAUGUCGUUGUUGGCCUUGCGGGUGACCGGGAAAGAAGCGGAUGACUUCAAACCAGUGAAUGGAGCGACCAUGGUGGCUUGAGCCGGGGAGGUAACCACAGCGGCAGAGGAGAGCAUAGAGGAAGCCAUUACUUCUUCUUCUUCUUCUUUUGCUUAAUUGUUUUUCUAUUGGUUUUGUCAUCUUUAUAUAGUGAGAACCGUAAGAGGCAAAAAGCCCUAAUGAUCAAAGGGUCCGGGAUUCAUGAUAACUCGUUCACUACCACAUGAUUAAGGAAAGGUGUUG